GACGAACGCUGGCGGCGUGCUUAACACAUGCAAGUCGAACGGAAAGGCCCUGCUUUUGUGGGGUGCUCGAGUGGCGAACGGGUGAGUAACACGUGAGUAACCUGCCCUUGACUUUGGGAUAACUUCAGGAAACUGGGGCUAAUACCGGAUAGGAGCUCCUGCUGCAUGGUGGGGGUUGGAAAGUUUCGGCGGUUGGGGAUGGACUCGCGGCUUAUCAGCUUGUUGGUGGGGUAGCGGCUUACCAAGGCUUUGACGGGUAGCCGGCCUGAGAGGGUGACCGGCCACAUUGGGACUGAGAUACGGCCCAGACUCCUACGGGAGGCAGCAGUGGGGAAUAUUGCACAAUGGGCGGAAGCCUGAUGCAGCAACGCCGCGUGCGGGAUGACGGCCUUCGGGUUGUAAACCGCUUUCGCCUGUGACGAAGCGUGAGUGACGGGAAUGGGUAAAGAAGCACCGGCUAACUACGU
rnacentral:rRNA from 1 species